rnacentral:rRNA from 1 species
AGAAAGGUACAUUGGAUGUCAUGGGAGAAUAUGACAAAACCAAUGAGGGAUGGAGGCAUAGGUUUCCAGGACAUGCACUAUUUCAACCAAGCGCUACUAGCAAGGCAGGGAUGGAUGCUGCUGCAAAAUCCUAAUAGUUUGUGUGCCCGGGUCCUAAAAUAUAAAUACUACCCCAGCGGUGAAUUACUGUAUACAAUGUUCUCUUCAGAUGCUUCCCCCUCGUGGCGUGGCAUUGAAUUUGGACUUGUGCUUCUGAAGAAGGUUGUGAUCUGGAGUGGCCAGCGGAAGGAAAAUCCAAAUUGA